GCGGGGGAGGAACAGAGACAGAGGGAGACACAGAAUCCGAAGCAGGCUCCAGGCUCUGAACUGAGAGCACAGAGCCCAACGGGGGGCUCGAACUCACAAACCGUGAGAUCAUGACCUGAGCCAAAGUCGGACGCUCCACCAACUGAGCCACCCAGGUGCCCCUCAAUGUGUACAGUUUUAUGAUUUCAGAUACAUGCAAACAUCCGAGGCCUAAGGUGGUUUCAAGGAUUAAGUGAGGUGAUACAUGGGUAGCACUAAAAACAAUGCCUGGAACACAAUGAUCCCUCAAUUAAGGCGGAAAUGAUUACAUUACCUCUUUGGGCCCUCAAAAACUUCCUGUCAGUUGGAAAGUCUUUUUAGCCAAGGCUCAAGAGGCUCAGAGAGGCUAUUCAAUGUGAUAAUGCGGUAGUAAGGAGCAGAAGCACUGGACCCCCUUCGAUUCCCAGGCUUUUUCCCCACUCUGAAUUGAUUCCUCCAAGAUUGUUGGUUCUGUGUUACACAAACCAAACUUUCCCACCACAUCUCCUGGUGUCCACCAGCUUUGUCCUUGUGAAAGGACACACGGGGGAUGCAGGGGAGUGAUGGCAAAAUGAACUCACCUUCUCAGGCCCAUCAGCCUGUCAGGCCUGUGCCAAGCACUUCUUGGGCAUUUUCCGCUUCAUCUUCGCCAAAAAACCAUACCCUGCGUACUUUCAAUAACCCCUUUGUAUAAAAAGUGGGCCCCACAACCAUUAAGUAACAGGAGCGGUAGCAGUUGGAGCAGAACCCAAGAUCUGCCCAGGUUUACCCACAGGAAGCCUUCCAUCAGGAGCAGUUUAUCUCCGUGCAAAAUUCACUGCACUGGAGAGACUCCCUUUUAGGACUCAGAAGGGACUGGGGUGGGGAGGCAGAUGGGAGGUGCCCAACGUUGACCCCUGGGGCAGCCCACUCAGCCUUCAUCGCUGCUUCUCUUUCUUCCUCCCAAACACAGAGGCUGGGGCCAGGCUGACCACCUCCCCCCUCCACUUCAGAGGCAACGUAGCCUCUCCCUCAGAGAAUUCCCAGUUCUGACCCAGUGUGGACCUAAUCCCAUGCCCUGUUACCAUUUCUGAUGGGGCACUUGCAGCCCUCUCUCCAGCCCCCCAGCCACCUGCCUAAGGGUUAGGCGUCUGCAGUUACCUCUUGCCUCUUGACACGGAAGUUCCCAUGCUCCACUUCUGGGCCUCUGGCAUGUUAUGAGUAGAAGUUUUCUCUCAUGCUGAAAUGGAACCAUUUCCCCAUUCAUAUGCAGGCUGGAUGUGGAAGAAUAGAAAACCUCUGAAGAGGACACCGGGGUGGUUCAGUCGGUGUCCCACUUGAUCUCACGGUUGCUUCCUCUUCCAUAAAACGGGGAUGCCAAUCCAUACCUACCUUGGUGUAGAGGACGACACCAGAUUGUUUCUCAAGAUCUCUUCCAGCUCGGGAGAAACAGAGCUUAACAGAUGAAUGGCUGCUACCAGCAAGCUGGGGAAAAGGAAUCCAGAGCCUGUGAUUUCCAAGAGCCUUUGUGACCCUUUCUGGAGAGCUGAGGCUGUUCUGGAGGCCUCUAACGUCAGAGUCUUGGCCCUUUGCCUUAAGACUGGGAAACUCAGAAGCAGGGAAAGUAAAUGGCAUGCUCCAAUAACAUGGUGCUAAUCAACAGCAGAUCUAAGAAAGAACUCAGGUCUUACAGAGUGGUACAGAUCCUUUUCACUAUUUGAUGCCUCCUUCCAUGCUUCGAUGAGGUAUGGCCGAAAUGGUUAGCCACACAGAUUUCAAGCAGACAAGAUGAUACUGAAACCAUUAUCUAUGAACUCAUCAGUACUAUCAGGCGCCCUCAGAGGAAAAGCCAUAUGAGGACAAAGUGGCCAUCCAUAAGCUAGGAAGAGAGCCCUCGCCAGAACCCAAACUCUAUCGGAACCUUGAUCUUGGACUUUCCAGCCUCCAGAACUGUGAGAAAAUGAAUUUCUGUUGUUAAAGCCGUGCAGUAUUUUGUUGUGGC